ACCUGUAUUGCUAUAAGGCCAAAAUAUAUAUAUACUUCUUUUUUUUUUUGGCGACGCCAUACUGUUCCUUUCAGCGAUGUAUAUUUUCAAAAUAUUUGCCACUCUGUCUUGUCAUAUUUGACAGCAAUUUAUCCACCCUCGUACUGCAAAUCAGGCCAAGUGGGGACUCACUCACAGUCUGCACCAAUAACUUUUGAAUCUGUCUUCAAAAGGUACUUCGCCCUCUCCUAGAGACGUAUGACAUGACAUAGUUUUAGAAGUGUGAGUAUUAAAAUGUAUUUGGCACCCCGUUACGAGUGCGUGUCUGUGAGGUCCUUUUCGAGCGUGUUUCUCAUAUGUAAUACUUAACGUGCCAUAUUCUAGAUGGGUGAAGUAGGCUACCUUCAACUGUAAAAUAGCGAUGAAAUAACUCAUCUGUGGUUGAUAUUCUGGGCUCUUAUGUGUAGAUAAGACAAGCCAGCCAAACUCAGACAGAAAGGUUGGCUCUUCAAUGCGUGUCUGUGCAAGUACAAAUACAGUUUGAUUGUUUUCUAAUCCAUCAUGAUGUUCGUAUUACUUUAAAAGGUCAGUUUCAGCUGGCCUGUUGUUUCGUUUCUUAUCUCUUCGGUUGCCUUGAGGCACGUGUAACAAAGAUUGUGCGUUAUUUUGUACCUCGCUGAGGACAACGAGUGAGUGACCUUUGCUUUCUUUGCCAAAGUUUGAAUGCAUCAUGGAUAGAUUUCCCUUACAUUUCAGUAAAAGGGACGACUUGUGUUCGUUUCUUCUUCUUUUUUUUUCUUUUCCUUUAAUAUAAAGUCAAAACAAUGUUUUCUACCUUACUACUGUAGUGUCAGACGAUUGUUUGGUUGUGUCUUCUGGUUGUCAGUUGACUGUGGAUAUGGUGUUUAGACUGAUCAGUGCGCGCUACUGAUGAAUAUUCAUGUUUUUUGAAUAUGUGUCUGGAAAGAUCAAAUCAAGCGAGUCGUCCAACGGUUCGCACGUGAAUUAGUGUUACGUGUAAACUAAAUCUUCCAGAAUCGUAUUUGAGACUCAUGUUGUGUGUCGAUGAUUUGUCCUCUGAUGACCUCUGACCUUCUAGUGCUUUACUGUAACAAUCUCAGCAUUUCUUCCAUAGUCCAUGCCUCUGCCCAUAUGGCUUUGUAGAUACAAGCUGCUACUCAGUAACGUAAAUGUUGUGCAUUGAAAUACGAACUCAAGGCUCACAAGAAUACACAUCAUCAACCAUUAAUCAAACUUGGGCUCUUACGCAAUAUUACUUUUUUACCUUAUGGUUUUAUGUUGAAAUAAUAGCUCAUGAUUAAGGGAGGAAGAGAUUGCAUGUGUGGUGAUUUUGGCUCAAGACUCUUAAGAUGCCAAAACCAUUUAAAGAUGGUCUCUGCUGAAGAAACCCGUGGGUUUUAGUUCAUGUUAACCAUUAUGUUUAUUUCAAAUGAUUCUCCAGUAAUUCCUCUUCAGUGUCAAAAUAAGUAAAAACUGACUCUCACAGGGUGUUUUGUUUGAAUAUUCUCAGUUUUUAUAUGAAAAUGUACAGUUCAACCUGGAGGAGAGCGACAUGGUCAUUGAACUAAAUUUUGUGAUUUGGAUAUUCCUCUGUGAAUGUCAUACCUGUUAAAAGAUGGUACUUUGUCUGAUAUUCUGACUGAAGUUCUGUAGGUCUAACUGUAGUUUCCUCUUCCCCAACACCUGGUCCUCUGAUACCUUCAGAGAAGGCAGUAACGUCGGUCUUGUUUAAAUGGAUAAUGCCACCUUUCGUUCUUAUCAAUAUUCUAGUAGUGUUAUAGAGGUUCUUCUUCUUCAAAAAAAGGAAAAAUAUGUUGAUGCAAAUCAAAUUGAAAUAAACAUUUAUUGAUGUACACAA